ACAGUCUAGUAUCCAUAAGCGCUGGAGUUUCCUACAGCAGCGAAUUAGCUUUGUAAGCUCACCACCUUGAAUUCCUGGAGCAUAACUUAGAUUCAAGGAGGUCAGGUUUGGGCAAAUGGAGUGAAAAGCUGGUAGGCAGUGAGGAGCAACGUCCAAAAACCCUGACAAACUCCUGACUGAUUUACACUUUUCAAUGGCAGUCACUAAUUUAUCGUAGGUUUCAGAAUCUGGAUCAUGUACAUAAGAUCCUACACCCAAGUCCACUAAAUUAGGCGACUGCAUCAAUAUUUUUUGGAGUGUAUCAAGAGGAACUGCACGGUUUAACCUCAAACUCCUGAGAUUUGGAGAUCUUGCUACAAGU
rnacentral:misc_RNA from 1 species